rnacentral:rRNA from 1 species
CGGGUUGUAAAGCACUUUCAGUAGGGAGGAAGGUAGUGUAGUUAACACCUGCAUUAUUUGACGUUACCUACAGAAGAAGCACCGGCUAACUCCGUGCCAGCAGCCGCGGUAAUACGGAGGGUGCGAGCGUUAAUCGGAAUUACUGGGCGUAAAGCGCAUGCAGGCGGCCUGUUAAGUCAGAUGUGAAAGCCCGGGGCGUUAACCUCGGAAUUGCAUUUGUAAACUGGCAGGCUAGAGUCUUGUAGAGGGGGGUAGGAAUUUCAGGUGUAGCGGUGAAAUGCGUAGAGAUCUGAAGGAAUACCAGUGGCGAAGGCGGCCCCCUCGGACAAAGACUGACGCUCAGAUGCGAAAGCGUGGGGAGCAAACAGGAUUAGAUACCCUGGUAG